rnacentral:rRNA from 1 species
AAUCAACGCUGGCGGCGUGCCUAACACAUGCAAGUCGAGCGGGAAAGGGGGCUUCGGCCCCUGAGUAUAGCGGCGGACGGGUGAGUAACACGUGGGUAAUUUGCCCUUGGGUGUGGAAUAACUCAGGGAAACUUGAGCUAAUACCGCAAUGACAUCCCCUUCACACACCGAGUCGGGGAUCAAAGCCGGGGACCCUUCGGGGCCUGGCGCCUGAGGAGAAGCCCGCGCCCGAUUAGCUAGNGGUGAGGUAAUGGCUCACCAAGGCUUCGAUCGGUAGCC